GUAGCGGUGAAUGCGUAGAAGAUUUGGAGGAACNCAGUGGCGAGCCGACUUUCUGGUCUGUACUGACACUGAGCGCGAAAGCGNGGGGGAGCAAACAGGAUUAGAUACCUGGUAGUCCACGCGUAAACGAUGAGUGCUAAGUGUAGAGGGUUUCCGCCCUUUAGUGCUGCAGCUAACGCAUUAAGCACUCCGCUGGGGAGUACGGCCGCAAGGCUGAAACUCAAAGGAAUUGACGGGGGCCCGCACAAGCGGUGGAGCAUGUGGUUUAAUUCGAAGCAACGCGAAGAACCUUACCAGGUCUUGACAUCCUCUGACAACCCUAGAGAUAGGGCUUUCCCCUUCGGGGGACAGAGUGACAGGUGGUGCAUGGUUGUCGUCAGCUCGUGUCGUGAGAUGUUGGGUUAAGUCCCGCAACGAGCGCAACCCUUGAUCUUAGUUGCCAGCAUUCAGUUGGGCACUCUAAGGUGACUGCCGGUGACAAACCGGAGGAAGGUGGGGAUGACGUCAAAUCAUCAUGCCCCUUAUGACCUGGGCUACACACGUGCUACAAUGGAUGGUACAAAGGGCUGCAAACCUGCGAAGGUAAGCGAAUCCCAUAAAGCCAUUCUCAGUUCGGAUUGCAGGCUGCAACUCGCCUGCAUGAAGCCGGAAUCGCUAGUAAUCGCGGAUCAGCAUGCCGCGGUGAAUACGUUCCCUGGCCUUGUACACACCGCCCGUCACACCACGAGAGUUUGUAACUACAGAAGUUCGUGAGUCACUAAGUCGGAGCAAGCUAACCACUAGAGUU
rnacentral:rRNA from 1 species